GCGGAUGUCGUCAAGUGGUUAAGACCAAGGAUUGUGGUUCCUUUAUGCGUGGGUUCGAAUCCCAUCAUCCGCCCCA
rnacentral:tRNA from 2 species